AGAACUUAACAUCCACUUCUCCGCCAAAUUUGUGCCUGGCGUGAACAAUGAUAUCGCGGAUGCCCUAUCUCGUUUUCAGAUGGACCGCUUCCGCUCGUUAGCACCGGAGGCUCAGCCGCUUCCUCAGCCGUUCCCGGAACAUCUGUGGAGACUUGGGGACCAGAGUCAUGGGAACCAGAAGUGAUUCAGGGAGUAUUAGCCUCAUUGGCUCCGUCCACUUUAAGAUCUUAUAAGAAGGCGUGGUCGGAUUUCCUUAAUUUCUGUAAUAAAUCC